AGAUUACCUGAUGAUUCUCUUUUUUGUUUUUCAGGAAAGCCCAAACUCACCAAUAGCAAAUGAAAGUCUUCUGAGGAAAAAGUCCUGAAGAAAACGGUACUACAGCUAAAUUACAUGCUGGAUGAGCUUUGGCACUGAAUCUCACAAAGUUUAUGAAAUUACUGCACGCAGCUUCAUAAGGAGUCGUGAAAAGUGAAGAAGGACCUGGUACUAAUUCACACCACACUGUGCUACACAGUGCUCCUGGCUGCAUCGCACCUGUUGAUGUUUGUGUGCCAAGGUACAUUACGCCAACUGCAAUGGCAAGGAAGGUACGGCUGCAACUAAGCCUGCAAACAGGACAGCUGCAUCUCAGGGAGCACUGCUCUCCAGCACCAGGCCAGGAACCCGCUUCGACUGCAGGAGCAAAAGUAGAGGAGGUGUACGUGUUUGAAAGCUUUGCAUGUUGGUCCCUGCAGCCCAUCAGUCGCUCCGUGCUGCACACAGAGAGACUGAAAGAUGCAUACUAUCGUUAAUGCUAAUCAACAAAGCCUGUGUGGAAGUGUUUCUUCUUGAAGUAACUUUAAACUUCUUAGAUGGGUUUUAGGUUUCGUUGACAUAGGAAAAGCAUUUAGUGAACAUAUGUAGGCUUCAAUGAAGCGUUGCAAUAUUGAUAGCAAAAUAGUACUAUGAACUUAAGAAGUUUCAAAGAAAACCAAUCAGUAGGUGGAAUAAUAGGCCCACCAGAACAGAAAGAUAAAUGAUAACUGACUACAGAGGAAGUACCUGGAACGAGAAAAGAGAAGUGCCUCUGCUGAACAAUGAAAUCGAUAGGAGAACCCACAUUACUUCAACUUUGAGCAUCCCAGUUUGUGAAUAUUCCAGGCAGAUAUUUCAAGUUGCUAACAGUGAAGCUCCCUAAGCAGAGGAACAAUUUAAUGAGGUUGGGGUAGUUUUCAUCACUACAGAAUCUUUAUGCUAGAGGUGGAUACCUUUUCUAACUGAGGCUAUAGUUCCACUGGCGCUAGUGAAAGGUAGUAAAGCAGACAAAAUGUUCCAAGCCCUGCAGGAGCUGCAGUUUGGCCCUGUGGCUCCGGGUUCUCUGUUGGGUUACAACGUGUACAUUACAAUUGGAGAUCCUCACCCUCCCCUAGCUUCCUUCUAAUUGCUUUUUUUGUCCAGCAUGUGGCAUUGACUCUUGGAAUAGUAUCCAAAAAAAGUUUAUUUAUAAUGUACUAAAAGAUGCAAUCUCGGUAGCUGAACCAAAUUUACAGUAGCAGCAUUUUGGAUGUCACGGGCAUCCUAAUGAAACCACAGCACUCCAAGCUGUGUGAGUGAUGCUUUACUUGGCUCGAGCGUUUUUAUUUGAAAUCAAAUGGAGGUGCUUGUUUUACUUCAAAGAACAGCAGAACCGACCAGUUCGAUAGCUCAUAGCUCCUCACACCAGCUCCUAGAAGUUAAUAUUCUUCCAUGCGAAGAGAUAGCAACUUCAGCCAGGCUAAUAAAAUAAACUUCUUUCCCAG
rnacentral:lncRNA from 7 species